GAUGAACGCUGGCGGCGUGCUUAACACAUGCAAGUCGAACGAGAAGUGGAGACGGACACCUUCGGGCGGAAGACUUUAUUUCGAGUGGCGGACGGGUGAGUAACGCGUGGGUAACCUGCCUCAUACAGGGGGAUAACAGUUGGAAACGACUGUUAAUACCGCAUAAUACCACAGCACCGCAUGGUGCGGGGGUAAAAACUCCGGUGGUAUGAGAUGGACCCGCGUUCGAUUAGCCAGUUGGCGGGGUAACGGCCCACCAAAGCGACGAUCGAUAGCCGAUCUGAGAGGAUGACCGGCCACAUUGGGACUGAGACACGGCCCAAACUCCUACGGGAGGCAGCAGUGGGGAAUAUUGCACAAUGGGGGAAACCCUGAUGCAGCGACGCCGCGUGAGUGAAGAAGUAUUUCGGUAUGUAAAGCUCUAUCAGCAGGGAAGAAAAUGACGGUACCUGAGUAAGAAGUCCCGGCUAACUACGUG
rnacentral:rRNA from 1 species